UCUACACAGGGUGAUGGAAUAUGAGACCUGCCCUUCCCGCAGAAGAGGUCCACCAGAAAAGGAGGACCUCAACUAUUAAGGGAAAUUUUACUUUUAGAUUAUGCAGAUUGAAGACACUGAUUCUCAUUUCCUCCAACUCAAGUAAGGGAUUUCUUGAAGGAAGUCCCCUGUCAAAUAUGUUGCAAAAUUAUAGGCAAGCAAAAAGAGCCAAAAAUAAAUUACAACAAUGGCA
rnacentral:misc_RNA from 1 species